rnacentral:lncRNA from 1 species
GAAGGAGGAGCCUGCUCUGGUGUUUGUCUGCGGCCUCUCUUCCCCUUCUUGUUUUGCUCUCUGUGGUUUGUUUCUUUUUUUUCUCGUUUUUCCUCUUGCGUUGCUUUUGUUGGCGUGCGGGCCCGGAAGGCGGCGGCAGCGGUUGCGGGUGUCGGGCACGAAGCGAUGGCAGACAGACGAAAAAAACACAAGGCCUCUCGGCGCAUCCCUGCGUAAAAGAAAAUCGCAAGAGGACGCAGAAAAGAGCGCAAACAACGCCCGCAAAAGCGAGAUCGUUUGUGCCCUUUUUGGGCACUCUUUCUUUUGUUGUUGUUGUUGUUGUUGUCUUGCGGGCGCGGACGGCCCAGAAAACCCAC